rnacentral:rRNA from 1 species
GGCUUAUUGAUUUUGAUUUUAGGUCAGGCCUGCCCACUGAAGGAUUAAAUGGCCGCGGUAUAUUGACCGUGCAAAGGUAGCAUAAUCAUUAGUUUUUUAAUUGAAAGCUAGAAUGAAGGGUUUGAUGAGGAAAAUUCUGUCUCUUAAGAAUUUUUUUAGAAUUUUAUUUUUGAGUUAAAAAGCUUAAAUAUGAAUGGAAGACGAGAAGACCCUAUAGAGUUUUAUAUUUAGAAAAUUAAAAAAAUCUAGGUUUGAUAAUUAUUUUAAUUUUUAAAAAUAUUUUAUUGGGGUGAUAGAAAAAUUAAUUGAACUUUUUUUUGUAUAAAAUCAUUGAUUUAUGAAUUAAUGAUCCUUUAUUUAAGAUUAAAAGAAUAAAUUACCUUAGGGAUAACAGCGUAAUUUUUUUUAGAGUUCAAAUCGAAAAAAAAGAUUGCGACCUCGAUGUUGGAUUAAAAUAAAUAAUUGGUGAAGAAGUUGAUUAAUUAGGUCUGUUCGACCUUUAAAAUUUUACAUGAUCUGAGUUUAAACCGGUGUGAG